rnacentral:rRNA from 1 species
AGUGAACGCUGGCGGUAGGCCUAACACAUGCAAGUCGAACGGCAGCACAGUAAGAGCUUGCUCUUACGGGUGGCGAGUGGCGGACGGGUGAGGAAUACAUCGGAAUCUACUCUUUCGUGGGGGAUAACGUAGGGAAACUUACGCUAAUACCGCAUACGACCUACGGGUGAAAGCAGGGGAUCUUCGGACCUUGCGCGAUUGAAUGAGCCGAUGUCGGAUUAGCUAGUUGGCGGGGUAAAGGCCCACCAAGGCGACGAUCCGUAGCUGGUCUGAGAGGAUGAUCAGCCACACUGGAACUGAGACACGGUCCAGACUCCUACGGGAGGCAGCAGUGGGGAAUAUUGGACAAUGGGCGCAAGCCUGAUCCAGCCAUACCGCGUGGGUGAAGAAAGCCUUCGGGUUGUAAAGCCCUUUUGUUGGGAAAGAAAAGCAGCAGGUUAAUACCCCGCUGUUCUGACGGUACCCAAAGAAUAAGCACCGGCUAACUUCGUG